rnacentral:rRNA from 1 species
UACAGAGGGGGCAAGCGUUGUUCGGAAUUACUGGGCGUAAAGGGCGCGUAGGCGGCCUGUUAAGUCGAACGUGAAAUCCCCGGGCUCAACCCGGGAACUGCGUCCGAUACUGGCAGGCUUGAAUUCGGGAGAGGGAUGCGGAAUUCCAGGUGUAGCGGUGAAAUGCGUAGAUAUCUGGAGGAACACCAAUGGCGAAGGCAGCUCACUGGGACGUGACUGACGCUGAGACGCGAAAGCGUGGGGAGCAAACAGG